GUUCAGGCUGCUGGGUGACAUUUCUAUGUCUCCCCUUCAACGGUGAAAUAUUUCAGUGGUUGUCCAUCACCUAUGGGAGUCUGACAUGGCAUAAUCAGGCCACUGGGGCAUUGCUAGUUGUGCUGUCCCUGAUAUUCACCGUGGUAGGCAGUUUCUGAAAUGGCUCCCAGUGAUCUCCAACUCCUGAAAUUCACACUCUGUGUAAUCCCCUCCCUUUGAGUGUGGGCUAGACCUGGUGGCCAAAGUGAUAGGAUUUCACUUCUGAUGUUAGGCUAUGAAAGGCUGUGACCGCUCUCUCUGCCUCUUCUCUCUCACUUGAAGCAAACUGACAUGCUGAAAGCUGCCCUAUGGAGAGGCUCAUGUGGCAAGGAACAGAGGGUGGCUUCUGGCCAACACCCAGUGAGGAACUCAGGCCCUCAGUCAAACAGCCUGCAAGGAACUGAACCCUGCCAAUAACCCUGGGUUGAAAGCUUCCCUUUGGAGAAGAACUGAGGGCUGUCUCUGGUCAAUAGCACUGAGGAACUGAAUCCAGCAAACAAUUAUGUGAAGAAACUUGGA
rnacentral:lncRNA from 1 species